rnacentral:rRNA from 1 species
GACGAACGCUGGCGGCGUGCCUAAUACAUGCAAGUCGAACGCUUCUUUCCUCCCGAGUGCUUGCACUCAAUUGGAAAGAGGAGUGGCGGACGGGUGAGUAACACGUGUGUAACCUACCCAUCAGAGGGGGAUAACACUUGGAAACAGGUGCUAAUACCGCAUAACAGUUUAUGCCGCAUGGCAUAAGAGUGAAAGGCGCUUUCGGGUGUCGUUGAUGGAUGGACCCGCGGUGCAUUAGCUAGUUGGUGAGGUAACGGCUCACCAAGGCCACGAUGCAUAGCCGACCUGAGAGGGGGAUCGGCCACACUGGGACUGAGACACGGCCCAGACUCCUACGGGAGGCAGCAGUAGGGAAUCUUCGGCAAUGGACGAAAGUCUGACCGAGCAACGCCGCGUGAGUGAAGAAGGUUUUCGGAUCGUAAAACUCUGUUGUUAGAGAAGAACAAGGACGUUAGUAACUGAACGUCCCCUGACGGUAUCUAACCAGAAAGCCACGGCUAACUACGUG